rnacentral:rRNA from 1 species
AGUUGAGCGCUGAAGGUUGGUACUUGUACCGACUGGAUGAGCAGCCCUCUGGUGAGUAACGCGUGGGGAAUCUGCCUUUGAGCGGGGGAUUUCAUUUGGAAACGAAUGCUAAUACCGCAUAAAAACUUUAAACACAAGUUUUAAGUUUGAAAGAUGCAAUUGCAUCACUCAAAGAUGAUCCCGCGUUGUAUUAGCUAGUUGGGGAGGGAAAGGCUCACCAAGGCGAUGAUACAUAGCCGACCUGAGGGGGUGAUCGGCCACAUUGGGACUGAGACACGGCCCAAACUCCUACGGGAGGCAGCAGUAGGGAAUCUUCGGCAAUGGACGAAAGUCUGACCGAGCAACGCCGCGUGAGUGAAGAAGGUUUUCGGAUCGUAAAACUCUGUUGGUAGAGAAGAACGUUGGUGAGAGUGGAAAGCUCAUCAAGUGACGGUAACUACCCAGAAAGGGACGGCUAACUACGUGCCAGCAGCCGCGGUAAUACGUAGGUCCCGAGCGUUGUCCGGAUUUAUUGGGCGUAAAGCGAGCGCAGGUGGUUUAUUAAGUCUGGUGUAAAAGGCAGUGGCUCAACCAUUGUAUGCAUUGGAAACUGGUAGACUUGAGUGCAGGAGAGGAGAGGGGAAUUCCAUGUGU